GAUGAACGCUGGCGGCGUGCCUAACACAUGCAAGUCGAACGGAGAUUACGGACGGAAGUUUUCGGAUGGAAGCCUGUAAUUCUUAGUGGCGGACGGGUGAGUAACGCGUGGGCAACCUGCCCUAUACAGGGGGAUAGCAGCUGGAAACGGCUGGUAAGACCGCAUAAGUCGGUUAAAUCGCAUGAUUUGAUCGGGAAAUGAGCAAUCAGGUAUAGGAUGGGCCCGCGUCCGAUUAGCCAGUUGGCAGGGUAAAAGCCUACCAAAGCGACGAUCGGUAGCCGGACUGAGAGGUCGGACGGCCACAUUGGGACUGAGACACGGCCCAAACUCCUACGGGAGGCAGCAGUGGGGGAUAUUGCACAAUGGAGGAAACUCUGAUGCAGCGACGCCGCGUGAGUGAAGAAGUAUUUCGGUAUGUAAAGCUCUAUCAGCAGGGAGGAUGAUGACGGUACCUGACGAAGAAGCCCCGGCUAACUACGUG
rnacentral:rRNA from 1 species